CUCGUAAAGCUCUGUUGUUAAAGAAGAACAAGUAUGAGAGUAACUGUUCAUACGUUGACGGUAUUUAACCAGAAAGUCACGGCUAACUACGUGCCAGCAGCCGCGGUAAUACGUAGGUGGCAAGCGUUAUCCGGAUUUAUUGGGCGUAAAGAGAGUGCAGGCGGUUUUCUAAGUCUGAUGUGAAAGCCUUCGGCUUAACCGGAGAAGUGCAUCGGAAACUGGAUAACUUGAGUGCAGAAGAGGGUAGUGGAACUCCAUGUGUAGCGGUGGAAUGCGUAGAUAUAUGGAAGAACACCAGUGGCGAAGGCGGCUACCUGGUCUGCAACUGACGCUGAGACUCGAAAGCAUGGGUAGCGAACAGGAUUAGAUACCCUGGUAGUCCAUGCCGUAAACGAUGAGUGCUAGGUGUUGGAGGGUUUCCGCCCUUCAGUGCCGGAGCUAACGCAUUAAGCACUCCGCCUGGGGAGUACGACCGCAAGGUUGAAACUCAAAGGAAUUGACGGGGGCCCGCACAAGCGGUGGAGCAUGUGGUUUAAUUCGAAGCUACGCGAAGAACCUUACCAGGUCUUGACAUCUUGCGCCAACCCUAGAGAUAGGGCGUUUCCUUCGGGAACGCAAUGACAGGUGGUGCAUGGUCGUCGUCAGCUCGUGUCGUGAGAUGUUGGGUUAAGUCCCGCAACGAGCGCAACCCUUGUUACUAGUUGCCAGCAUUAAGUUGGGCACUCUAGUGAGACUGCCGGUGACAAACCGGAGGAAGGUGGGGACGACGUCAGAUCAUCAUGCCCCUUAUGACCUGGGCUACACACGUGCUACAAUGGACGGUACAACGAGUCGCGAACUCGCGAGGGCAAGCAAAUCUCUUAAAACCGUUCUCAGUUCGGACUGCAGGCUGCAACUCGCCUGCACGAAGUCGGAAUCGCUAGUAAUCGCGGAUCAGCAUGCCGCGGUGAAUACGUUCCCGGGCCUUGUACACACCGCCCGUCACACCAUGAGAGUUUGUAACA
rnacentral:rRNA from 2 species